GUACACUCCUACGGGAGGCAGCAGUGGGGAAUAUUGGACAAUGGGCGCAAGCCUGAUCCAGCCAUGCCGCGUGAGUGAUGAAGGCCCUAGGGUUGUAAAGCUCUUUCACCGGUGAAGAUAAUGACGGUAACCGGAGAAGAAGCCCCGGCUAACUUCGUGCCAGCAGCCGCGGUAAUACGAAGGGGGCUAGCGUUGUUCGGAUUUACUGGGCGUAAAGCGCACGUAGGCGGACUAUUAAGUCAGGGGUGAAAUCCCGGGGCUCAACCCCGGAACUGCCUUUGAUACUGGUAGUCUUGAGUUCGAGAGAGGUGAGUGGAAUUCCGAGUGUAGAGGUGAAAUUCGUAGAUAUUCGGAGGAACACCAGUGGCGAAGGCGGCUCACUGGCUCGAUACUGACGCUGAGGUGCGAAAGCGUGGGGAGCAAACAGGAUUAGAAACCCCGGUAGUCCCAUG
rnacentral:rRNA from 1 species